AACGCACAUUGCGCCCUCUGGUAUUCCGGGGGGCAUGCCUGUUCGAGCGUCAUUAUAACCACUCAAGCUCUCGCUUGGUAUUGGGGUUCGCGGUUUCGCGGCCCCUAAAAUCAGUGGCGGUGCCUGUCGGCUCUACGCGUAGUAAUACUCCUCGCGAUUGAGUCCGGUAGGUCUACUUGCCAGCAACCCCUAAUUUUUUUUAAGGUUGACCUCGGAUCAGGUAGGGAUACCCGCUGAACUUAA
rnacentral:misc_RNA from 1 species